ACAGUACUCCCUCCGUCCGGAAAUACUUGUCAUCAAAAUGAAUAAAAGAGGAUGUAUCUAGAUGUAUUUUAGUUCUAGAUACAUCCCCUUUUGUUCAUUUUGAUGACAAGUAUUUUCGGACGGAGGGAGUUGUUU
rfam:Triticum aestivum genome assembly, contig: Triticum_aestivum_CS42_TGACv1_scaffold_579849_7BL